rnacentral:rRNA from 1 species
UUGUGUACCCACCUCUGUUGCUUUGGCGGGCCGCGGUCCUCCGCGGCCGCCCUCCGUCCGGGGGGUGGCCAGCGCCCGCCAGAGGACCAUCGAACUCCGGUCAGUGAACGUUGCCGUCUGAAAAACAAUCAAUAAACUAAAACUUUCAACAACGGAUCUCUUGGUUCUGGCAUCGAUGAAGAACGCAGCGAAAUGCGAUAAGUAAUGUGAAUUGCAGAAUUCAGUGAAUCAUCGAAUCUUUGAACGCACAUUGCGCCCCUCGGUAUUCCGAGGGGCAUGCCUGUUCGAGCGUCAUUACAACCCUCAAGCUCUGCUUGGUGUUGGGCACCGCCCUUCCGCGGGCGCGCCUCAAAGACCUCGGCGGUGGCGUCUUGCCUCGAGCGUAGUAGAAAACACCUCGCUUUGGAGCGCACGGCGCCGCCCGCCGGACGAACCUUUUGAACUUUCUCAAGGUUGACCUCGGAUCAGGUAG